rnacentral:rRNA from 1 species
AUUGAACGCUGGCGGCAUGGAUUAGGCAUGCAAGUCGGACGAUAAGCUGUCUUCGGACAGCCGAAAGUGGCGAAAGGGUGAGUAACACGUGAGCAACCUGCCCCCGAGUUCGGAAUAGCCCGCGGAAACGUGGAUUAAUACCGGAUGCGAAGGAUAUGGCCGCCUGGCCGCUUCCUUCAAAGAUUUAUCGCUCGGGGAUGGGCUCGCGCCCCAUUAGCUAGUUGGCGGGGUAACGGCCCACCAAGGCUACGACGGGUAGGUGGUCUGAGAGGACGGCCACCCACACCGGGACUGAGACACUGCCCGGACUCCUACGGGAGGCUG